rnacentral:tRNA from 1 species
GAGGGGAUAGCUCAACCUGGCAGAGCACAUGCUUAGCAUGCACAAGGUCCUGGGUUCAACCCCUAGUUACCUCC